rnacentral:rRNA from 1 species
UGGGGAAUAUUGCACAAUGGGCGCAAGCCUGAUGCAGCCAUGCCGCGUGUGUGAAGAAGGCCUUAGGGUUGUAAAGCACUUUCAGCGAGGAGGAAGGCAUCAUACUUAAUACGUGUGGUGAUUGACGUUACUCGCAGAAGAAGCACCGGCUAACUCCGUGCCAGCAGCCGCGGUAAUACGGAGGGUGCAAGCGUUAAUCGGAAUUACUGGGCGUAAAGCGCACGCAGGCGGUUUGUUAAGUCAGAUGUGAAAUCCCCGCGCUUAACGUGGGAACUGCAUUUGAAACUGGCAAGCUAGAGUCUUGUAGAGGGGGGUAGAAUUCCAGGUGUAGCGGUGAAAUGCGUAGAGAUCUGGAGGAAUACCGGUGGCGAAGGCGGCCCCCUGGACAAAAGACUGACGCUCAGGUGCGAAAGCGUGGGGAGCAAACAGGAUUAGAGUACCCAUGGUA